GAAAUGGUACCAAACAAAGAGGACUCGAUUGAUCUCAAAGCUGUGGGAGGGCCAACCCAAGAAUAAAUCCCAGAAGAGGUCUGGUGAUGGUCUGUCGAGUGGUGACGAGGAAGACCCAUCUUUGCUGAGGAGGCCAGUGAGAAUGACAGUGACUGUGACAAGUUCAUCUGCCGGGUCUUUGGGUUUCUGAAGCCACACAUCAGACGUCACAACAAGGAAACACCAGCUAGUUUUAAGGACAAGUUGGCCCUGGCUGAGAAAGGUGAGUAGGCUGGGAGUGACAGUACCAUGGCAGUUAGUUUUGCAAACUAAUCCAGGGAGCCCACCAAGAAGUACACUGGCUACCCUACACCGAGACCUCCUUCCAGGACAGGAACAGCUGCUGAGGACCAACCCGAGUCUCCUAUGGAGAUGAGAGUUACCGGAGCAUCAUCCCGUGAUCUCCAAGAAAGGCUGGUUCAGUUCAUCACUACAGAGCAGCCAGUCAACAGGGCCACUCCUUUCUGCAAGUAUCUGGAAACUGAACUGGAUCGUCUGCAUGAUGCCUGCCUGGAACCUGCUUACCGGAAGAUGUCCAGACAGUUCAGGAUGAGGGAAGCGGCUGGUGACCAGAUCAGUCCCUUCGUAGAUGUCCCGUCGGCAUUACAGUCGCAGCAGCAGAGGCC